rnacentral:rRNA from 1 species
AGAGUUUGAUCAUGGCUCAGGAUGAACGCUGGCGGUAUGCCUAACACAUGCAAGUCGAACGGGUAUCUUCGGAUAUUAGUGGCGGACGGGUGAGUAACGCGUGAGAAUCUGCCUUCAGGAUGGGGACAACAGUUGGAAACGACUGCUAAUACCCGAUAUGACGAAAGUUGAAAGAUUUAUCGCCUGGAGAUGAGCUCGCGUCAGAUUAGCUAGAUGGUGUGGUAAAGGCGCACCAUGGCGACGAUCCAUAACUGGUCUGAGAGGAUGAGCAGCCACACUGGGACUGAGACACGGCCCAGACUCCUACGGGAGGCAGCAGUGGGGAAUUUUCCGCAAUGGGCGCAAGCCUGACGGAGCAAUACCGCGUGAGGGAGGAAGGCUCUUGGGUCGUAAACCUCUUUUCUCAGGGAAGAACAAAAUGACGGUACCUGAGAAUCAGCUCGAUCCCCC